CAGUUCAACAGUAAGAAGACAGGGUGUAACAUCCCAAAAUUCCAAAACCUUUCAUAUGCAUUGCAUCCAUGAGCAUCAUGCCACAAUUGCAUAUUUGAAUUCAAAUUUGAAUCUCAAAAGGCUUUAAAAAGGUUUUAUUUCAUUUUAAACCCUAGGGUUUCACCCAUUUGAGCUUUGGAUCUUAAAACCAAUAGGGUUUAUCUAUAAAUGGGGUUUAUUGCAUAAAAAAGCUAUGCCAUAAUUUUUGGAUAUUUAUUUAGAGUUGAAAAAACUAUUUUAUUUAAAUAGUUAUAUAGCCCUAAAGGCAUUUAUACGGAAACUAUAUUUUUAUAUAUUUUAUUUUGAGGGAAAUUACUCCCAAAAGUUGAAUCAUGAUAAAACAUGAUUUUACAAAAAAUUUGGAAUUUAUUUGGACCAAUUUGGAGUUAAAAAUCAAAAGUUAGAAGGGAAUUACAUAAAAAGAAAAAGAGAAAAGGCUAAAAGGAAAAGAAAAAAGAGAGAAACGGACCGGCCCGACCGAAUUGGGCCGAACCGGCCCAUUCCCCCGCGCGCGCCCGAGCCAGCCCAGCAGCGCCCGCGCCCGCGCCCGUCGCUGACAAGUGGGGCCCACCUGUCAGGCUUCGUCCC
rnacentral:lncRNA from 1 species